GUGGGGAAUAUUGGACAAUGGGCGAAAGCCUGAUCCAGCCAUGCCGCGUGUGUGAAGAAGGUCUUCGGAUUGUAAAGCACUUUAAGUUGGGAGGAAGGGCAGUAAGUUAAUACCUUGUUGUUUUGACGUUACCGACAGAAUAAGCACCGGCUAACUUCGUGCCAGCAGCCGCGGUAAUACGAAGGGUGCAAGCGUUAAUCGGAAUUACUGGGCGUAAAGCGCGCGUAGGUGGUUUUGUAAGUUGGAGGUGAAAUCCCCGGGCUCAACCUGGGAACUGCCUCCAAAACUGCAUGACUAGAGUACGGUAGAGGGUAGUGGAAUUUCCUGUGUAGCGGUGAAAUGCGUAGAUAUAGGAAGGAACACCAGUGGCGAAGGCGACUACCUGGACUGAUACUGACACUGAGGUGCGAAAGCGUGGGGAGCAAACAGGAUUAGAUACCCUAGUAGUCC
rnacentral:rRNA from 1 species